AAGAGAUUUAAUUUUUUGGCAUCCUACCAUGGAGUUUCUUAUGUUUAAGCAGUGUACUGUUCUUUAGUUCUAGUCCUGUGAUCAUCAUUGUGGAGGGUGCACCAAACAUCUCCUUGAGGACUUGUGGAAAAACAAGAUAAUAGGCUUCUCUCAGAGUUUUUCACUCUGGAAGUCAAGGGUUGGACCUGACUGUCUACAUUCUAAUCAGUUCAGUUAAUGGCAGUUGCCCUUGGCCAGGGAGUACACUUUGAGAAUCACUGCUCUGGAGAAAUGUAGAUAGCAGUGACCUGCCGUGACCACAUGCAGCUGGGGUAGCAUACGGCUGAAGAGCAGAAGAGAGGCUGGACUCUUAAGGGAAGAUGUCCUUGCCUUCCCUAUCCAUCUUUCUGGCAGCCAUGUGAGCAGGCCUAAGCUUGCGAGAUCUCUUGUGGGUAACCACAGCAGAUCUGAUCAGGAUGGAAAUGGCUCUUAGGCUCAGAGGAUGAGGAUUCCCAACCAUCAUUGUUAACCUAGAGCAGGACAUGGAAGAACAUGCUGGCUGCAAAGGCAACACUGUGCAUCUGGGAGUCCCAGCCAUCAAAGACAUGGAUUGGACAGAUUGUUUAUGGAAGUGGCUGAAAGCUGGGAGAGGCUGCGUGCAGACUGGGGGA